rnacentral:rRNA from 1 species
CCCGUCACAUCAUGAAAGCCGUUUGUACCCGAAGUCACCGUGCUAACUCGCAAGAGAGGCAGGUGCCGAAGGUAUGGAUGGUGAUUGGGAUG